CUCGUAGGCGGCUUAGCAAGUCGGGUGUAAAACCUCCAGGCUCAACCUGGAGAGGCCACCCGAUACUGCUAUGGCUAGAGUCCGGUAGGGGACCACGGAAUUCCUGUGUAGCGGUGAAAUGCGCAGAUAUCAGGAGGAACACCGGUGGCGAAGGCGGUGGUCUGGGCCGGUACUGACGCUGAGGAGCGAAAGCGUGGGGAGCGAACA
rnacentral:rRNA from 1 species